ACUAGAAGUCGCUGAGCUGACCCGCAAGGGAGGCAGGCGCCCACGGUAUGGUCGGUGAUUAAGGUGAAGUCGUAACAAGGUAGCUGUAGGUGAACCUGCAGAAGGAUCA
rnacentral:rRNA from 1 species